rnacentral:misc_RNA from 1 species
CUAUUACCCCUAUGGUGACGGAGAAUAAAAAUGAAGUCUGUAGACAGUGGUCCUCACACAUAAAUCUUCUUCUUUCUCAACACCCAUUUAUCAAGGUCUUGGUGUUCUUUAUUUUCUUCUUCUCCUCCAUCUUGCUUGCUUUUUUUGUUGCCUUCUCUUGCUUCUCUUAGUAUGGCAACUAGCAGAGCUGAGGGAAAGAGGAGCUUGAAGGGGAUGGAGGAUGAGGAAGAAGAAGAGGAUGAAGAAGAGAAUAGUGGGUUAGGGUUUGGAGAUGAUGACAAGAAGAAGAAAGGCAAGAAAGGAUCUAAUGCUAGUGGGUCAAUGCCGGCAGUUUCUUGUCAAGCAGAGAAUUGCACCUUUAACAUGACCGAUGCCAAGAAAUACCAUAGACGCCAUAAAGUGUGCGACUUCCAUGCCAAGGCUCCCUUUGUCCUUGUUGCUGGAAUCCAGCAACGCUUCUGUCAGCAAUGUAGCAGGUUCCACGAGUUAUCAGAAUUUGAUGACAACAAAAGAAGUUGCCGGAGUCGUUUGAGAGGACACAAUGAGAGGCGCAGAAAAAGCUCAUCUGACUGUCAUGGGGAAGGCUCAAUUUGAAAGUAACAAAUAAAAAAUAAAUAGGUUUACUACUCACUGAGGAGGUAUAGGCUUACAAAAUAAAAUUGCCUCUUCCACGGCCAGUUAUAUCUAAAUAUGUCAACUCUAGCCAUAUGCUCUCUCUCUUCUGUCAAUUUAAUAAUAUAUAAACUUCCAUUAUAUACCAGCCAGUUCUUUCUCAAUGAUCUCUGUGGAGGUGUUCGAUUAAUCCCACAAUUAUAUGCAUAAGAUCAUCAGACAAGUACAAGGUUCCCACUAGGACAACAUAAAGAGGUAUGAAUUCCAUAAGAGAUGAUCUUGGAGACGCAAUUCAUCAACUUAUACCAAUUGCUUCGCAGCAUUAAAAGCAAGAAGCUGCAUGAAGGCAAAUUCACAAUUGAAUGCGUUAGUAGGCACAAAAACUUGUUUAAAAUCAACAAGGUUAAGAAAAUGCGACUGUUACUGUAGAAAAUGAUGUAAAUCAUUCCCAAGGCCAAAGCCGAUGAUAAAAUGCUUGAGCAUGACUUACCUGAGCAACAUCUACUAGACAAAACAUAAAUAUAGCAAUCCUUCCAGUCCUAUACUAAUAUUCGGAGGUGAUCUGCAUGUAUAACUUAAAAGUAGAUCACUGCUAGUUUGCCAAGCCCACAAGAAAUAAUAUGCAAAUCCUUAAUUUUCAUAAUAGAACCCACCCCAGUCCAUUUUACAAAAAACUUUGCCAUCCCAAAAUCCCGAUCAAAAUUCGCUGCAACCCACCAAAGCUUGUAAUGACAAUGAGAAAAUUGAAAUUCUUGGUAAUAUUUACCAUUCUUAAUCAUGCCUGAUCCCCAACAUUUUCGUGGCAAGUUCCCAGGUGACUAUUGCAGCCGCAUUAGCUGGAAAUGCUCGCACUAUUGUGGGACCCAGACCUGCAUAGCAUCCUUUAAGUCCAGUCCUCCUGUAAAUCUUGUUAAGUACUCGAAAUGGAUUUCUGGUGGAGCUUUUAUCUGGAGCAGUCUGGAUAAUAGUUUUCGCCACAUCCAAGGGCAAAACAGCAGACCAGGAAGCUACACCACCAAGGCCACCACUCACAAUUCCAACUCCCAUGUCAAUAAAGUUGUUGUGGACAGAAAAAGAAGCUUUCAAUUGUAAAUGCAUGUAAUAACGGACAUACUCAUAAACGCUAAAGAAAACUGCAUUUCCAAAAGAUUCUCUUAACAGUGUUGUAAAACCCCCUCGAAAAAUGCCUGCAACCCCUUCAUUUUUCACUGUUUGAAGGGCACAAUCAAGAGGACUAUUGUAUCUACUGGACUUUGGAACCAAGGAGUCAGUACCUUGAACUUGCAUCCUACACUUUACUAGCUCAGAUGGACAUAAUACAAAACUUAUAAUUGCUCCACCAUAAGCUGCAGAAGGAAUUAUUACUUGGGGCAUUGGCACAUCACUACGCACUCCUCUCUUCUGCAAGGACUGCUUUGUUUGAGAAUAAAUCCCAAAAAGAAGUGAACUCUCAAAAGCCAUCCCAAUAAAUGAUGAUGUUGCACCCCUGUAAAGUCCUUUAACAAUAAGAUGUUAAAAGAAGCAUACUCCUUCUGUCUUUAGGAUCCUAGUCGUGCAAUGCAAACCAUUCCUGUACUUAAUAGCAUGCGCUUCCGCAUUGUGUUUUUGCAGCUUUACCUAAGAAAAAUGAAUAAAUAAACAAAAUAAUUACAAAUACAAAGAGAAUUUCAUUAACCCAUUUUCUUGAAGCCACUAUGUGAUAAACCCUCUCUAGUAUUUGCAGAACUGCAAAAUCUAGAGCUACCCAGAUAUACCUUGACGGUGUCGAAGGGAUGACCGGUGAUAACUGUGGCAACACCAGCGAGUAAACCGGCUAAGUAUUCCUUGUAAAUCCCAGUGUCCCCCAUUUUCCGUUUCUCUCUCUAAACCCCUAAACCUGUGGACUCAAUAUUGUUUGUUUAUAAUAGGGGAAGUAAAUAGUGACGGUGGUCCUUGUCAUCACCCACUGAACUUGCGAAUGGUGUGAAUCUACGACCGAAAGAGAGAUUGAAGAUACGGAGAGUGGAUACCGGCCAGAAAUGGUAUAUGUAAAUUAGAAGAAAAAGAUGAUGGAGAAUGGAGAGUGACUACUUGUUGGGUCGAGUUUAUAUAUUGCGACAUACAGGACCUAUGAUCUGCUUUGGUUCAUGAAGCCGCUAAUGGGCGAAUAUACUUCUUUCUUUUUUACUACAAUAAUAAAAAUUUUGACUUUAUAAUAAAAAACUUCGCCCUCUUACCUUUGCUUGAUUAGGCAAGAAUUCCCCUUUCCCAUUAAGACACGAUCAAAUGAUCAUCUUUAUGCUUUUGCUGCUCUUGUUCUUUUUUAUUUUUUAAGUUAAUUUUUUAUAUUCA